UAGUUCAGGUUUCUUUUCAUUGAUGAAAAAAUCUUUUGCCUUUUAUUAAAGAGUUCUAUAGAGAGGAAUUUUAAUGAGUUUAAAAUGAGUUUUUGCUCUGGCGGAGCUGA